UGAACGCUAGCGGCAGGCUUAACACAUGCAAGUCGAGGGGUAUGCCGAUUUAUCGGCAGAGACCGGCGCACGGGUGCGUAACGCGUAUGCAAUCUACCUUUCACAGAGGGAUAGCCCAGAGAAAUUUGGAUUAAUACCUCAUAGUAUAGCAAUUUCGCAUGAAACCACUAUUAAAGUUCCAACGGUGAAAGAUGAGCAUGCGUCCCAUUAGCUAGAUGGUAAGGUAACGGCUUACCAUGGCUACGAUGGGUAGGGGUCCUGAGAGGGAGAUCCCCCACACUGGUACUGAGACACGGACCAGACUCCUACGGGAGGCAGCAGUGAGGAAUAUUGGACAAUGGGCGCAAGCCUGAUCCAGCCAUGCCGCGUGCAGGAUGACGGUCCUAUGGAUUGUAAACUGCUUUUGUACAGGAAGAAACACUACUUCGUGAAGUAGCUUGACGGUACUGUAAGAAUAAGGAUCGGCUAACUCCGUG
rnacentral:rRNA from 1 species